rnacentral:lncRNA from 1 species
GGGUUUGAUUCCCAGAACCACAAAAAUAAACAAAUGGCACCAAAAGUAAAAAGCUGGAAAAUUCUGUACAGAGAAAAACUAACAAAAAGCAUACCUACAGAAAAAUCAGGGCUGGGGAUGUAGCUCAACAGUAGUGCACUUGCUUAGUAUGCAUGAGGCCUUGGAUUCGAGCCCCAGGAACCACCCCUGCCCCCCCAAAAAACAGUUUGCCUUAUUGGCAAGUGACAUUUUCUUUUCUUUUUCUUUUUCUUUUUCUUUUUCUUUUUUUUUUAUUGGGAUUGAGUCUGGGGCCACCUUACCGCUGAGCUAGAUCCCCAGCCCUUUUUGUUUUUAAGUUGGAUGCAAGGUCUUGCUAAGUUGCUAAGGCUGGCCUCAAAUUUGGAAUCUUCCUGCCUCAGCCUCCUGAGACACUGUGACUUCAGGAAUGUGCACCAGGCCUGGCAAGGACAUUCAUUAGGGAUUAAGACAGCCACUGCAAAAUGACGAACGGGAUAGUUCUUAGUUCUGAAUGUAUAUGUUCCAGGUUUUAAAAAUGAGGGUGAAAUACACAGAAAAAAACAGAAUAUAUGGCAAAAUGAGAGGAUACAAGAGAAAUUGCCAAAUCUAUCACAGUGGGAAAAUUAAGACUUUCUUUUUUUAAAGAAUUUAACCUUUAUUUUAUUUAAUUGUUGUUGUUUAUUUUUAUGUGGUGCUAAGGAUCGAACCCAGGGCCUCACCCAUCCUAGUCAAACUCUCUACCACUAAGCUACAACCCCAGCCUCAAAUUAAGACUUUUUUGAAUAAUGAAUAGACCAAAUAAGAGAUGUAGAUAAUUUUAAUACCAUCAAUAAUCCUGAUCAGUGGAUCUCUACAGAAUCCACAUAUUACUUUCAGAUACAAGAAUUAUUUAUAGCUGGGCACGGUGUUGCACACCUAUAAUCCCAGUGGCUUGGGAGGUUGAUGCAGGAAGAUCAUGAGUUCAGAGUCAGCCUCAGUAAUUUAUGAAUUUAGCAACUCAGCGAGACCCUGUUUCUAAUAAAAACAUUAAAAAGGGCUGGAUGUGAGCACCCCUGGGUUUAAUGCCCAGUACCAAAAAAAAAGAAGAAGAAGAAGAGGAAGAAGAAUUUACAAAAAAAGACCCAACUACUAGACUCCAAGACAAAAACAAAUAUAAAAUAGUAAAUUUUAUACAGACCAUAAUUUUUGACUACAGACAAGAGCCAAAUAAGCUCUAAAAAUUUGGAGAUUUAAACCUACUUUGAAAUAACCCUCUUUAAUCAAAGAUGAAAAUCAUAAAAAUGAGAAACAUGUAACUUAAACAAAAAUGACUAUACAGCUGGGGUUGUGGCUCAGUGGUAGAGCAUUUGCCUAGCAUGUGUGAGGUACUGGGUUUGAUUCCCAGCACCAAUAUAAAUAAAAAAGGUCCACUGACAAAUAUAUAUAUACACAAAAUGACUAUAGAGCUAGGCACAGUGGCCCAUGUCUGUAAUCCCAGUGGCUUGGGGGGAUGAAGUAGGAGCAUCUCAAGUUUAAUACCAGCCUCAGCAAUUUUGCAAGGCCCUAAACAAGGAGAGACUGUGUCUCAAAAUUUAAAAAGGGCUGGGAUGUGGCUCAAAAAAUAUACAUAUUAAUAACUUGGAUGGGGCCAGGCAUGGUGGGACAUGCCUGUAAUACCUGCGGAUUAUAGGCUGAGGUUUGAGGAUUUCG